rnacentral:lncRNA from 1 species
UUGCAGAUUUUCAAAUAAAACUCAGAGAUUCCUUGUAUGACUCUCUCAAAUCUCUCUUUUGUGGUAUUUCUAGAUCCUUUCCAAGGAAGUAAUGGUAUAUGCCUUCUCUCAAAGUAUGUGGUGUUUUUGGUAUGAGGCAUAGUGAUAUUGCCUUCUCUCUCACCCAACAAUAAUAAGGUUUUGAUACCUAGAGCUCAUAGGUGGGAGACAGAUAAUACAUACUUACAAAACAUUUAUUGCAUAGUCAAACCAUGGAUCCAGAAGAACAAGUCAAUAAGUCAAAUCAAGAUGUGCAUGUGUGGUGAGUGAAUGGUGUAUGGUGAUGAUGAUGAUAACAAUGGUGAAAGUCUAAUUCUACUUUUGCUCUUUUAAGGGGAUACAUACCUUUCUUGCACUUUGAAGCUUUUUGAGGAGAAUGAGAUGCUCUAUAUUUUUCUUUUUCUUUUCUCUCAGGUGGGUAUCUUGUACCCCUAAUUCUACUAUCGGACACUUGUCCAUUUUUACCUCUCGUCUCACUUUUUCUUUUCUUCGAGGUUCCGGGCACUUUCCCCUUUUUAUUUCCUCAUAUUCUCUUUUUUUAGAGCACUCAUCUCCUGAAAUAAUAUAGCAAGUGGUAGUAACCAAGAUAACUCGAGCAUUUAUUUCAUACGGAAAAACAUAAAUGUUUUUGGCUAUUCUCUCCCGGAUUAGGAGUAGAAUACUUUUGGGUGGCUCUGGAGAUGGAAGUGAGUGGAUGUAUGUGGAUGCGUACUUCUGGAGU